rnacentral:rRNA from 1 species
GAAACUGUGGAUGUGCAUUUAUGCACGUGGUAGGAGAGCGUUCUAGCGGCGGUGAAGCAUGACUGAGAGGACAUGUGGAGCUUCUAGAAGUGAGAAUGCCGGUAUGAGUAACGAAAGACAGGUGAGAAUCCUGUCCGCCGCAAGACUAAGGUUUCCUGGGGCAGGCUCGUCCGCCCAGGGUAAGUCGGGACCUAAGGCGAGGCCGAGAGGCGUAGUCGAUGGACAACAGGUUGAAAUUCCUGUACUGCACCGAAUCGUUAUGAGCGAUGGAGGGACGCAGGAGGCUAGCAGCGCGUGGUGCUGGAUACCACGUUCAAGCGUCAAGUCUGAGAGCGAGUCAAAUGCUUGCUCUCAUAAGGACAAGGCGUGAUGAGGAGCGAAAUUAAAGUAGCGAAGGCUGCGACGUCACACUGCCGAGAAAAGCUUCUAGCCAGAGACGGUGCACCCGUACCGCAAACCGACACAGGUAGUCGAGGAGAGUAUCCUCAGGUGAGCGAGAGAACUCUCGUUAAGGAACUCGGCAAAAUGGCCCCGUAACUUCGGGAGAAGGGGCGCUGGUCGCAAGAUCAGCCGCAGUGAAAAGGCCCAAGCAACUGUUUAUCAAAAACACAGGCAUCUGCAAAAUCGUAAGAUGAAGUAUAGGUGCUGACACCUGCCCGGUGCUGGAAGGUUAAGAGGAGAGCUUAGCGCAAGCGAAGGUUUGAAUUGAAGCCCCAGUAAACGGCGGCCGUAACUAUAACGGUCCUAAGGUAGCGAAAUUCCUUGUCGGGUAAGUUCCGACCUGCACGAAAGGUGUAAUGAUUUGGGCACUGUCUCAACGAGAGACUCGGUGAAAUUAUAAUACCCGUGAAGAUGCGGGUUACCCGCGACAGGACGGAAAGACCCCAUGGAGCUUUACUGCAGUUUAAUAUUGGGUAUCUGUCAAGCAUGUACAGGAUAGGUAGGAGCCGGAGAAGAUAGGACGCCAGUCUUAUCAGAGGCGCUGUUGGGAUACUACCCUUGCUUGACGGAUGCUCUAACUCAGGCCUGUGAUCCAGGCCGAGGACAGUGUUUGACGGGCAGUUUGACUGGGGCGGUCGCCUCCUAAAGUGUAACGGAGGCGCCCAAAGGUUCCCUCAGAAUGGUUGGAAAUCAUUCGCAGAGUGUAAAGGUAAAAGGGAGCUUGACUGCGAGAGAGACAACUCGAGCAGGUACGAAAGUAGGGCUUAGUGAUCUGGUGGUACCGUAUGGAAGGGCCAUCACUCAACGGAUAAAAGCUACCCUGGGGAUAACAGGCUUAUCUCCCCCAAGAGUUCACAUCGACGGGGAGGUUUGGCACCUCGAUGUCGGCUCGUCGCAUCCUGGGGCUGAAGUCGGUCCCAAGGGUUGGGCUGUUCGCCCAUUAAAGCGGCACGCGAGCUGGGUUCAGAACGUCGUGAGACAGUUCGGUCCCUAUCCGUCGUGGGCGUAGGAAAUUUGAGAGGAGCUGUCCUUAGUACGAGAGGACCGGGAUGGACGCACCGCUGGUGUACCAGUUGUCUUGCCAAAGGCAUCGCUGGGUAGCUAUGUGCGGACGGGAUAAGCGCUGAAAGCAUCUAAGUGCGAAGCCCCCCUCAAGAUGAGAUUUCCCAUUUCUUCAAGAAAGUAAGACACCUCAGAGACGAUGAGGUAGAUAGGCCGGGAGUGGAAGAGCCGUGAGGCUUGGAGCGGACCGGUACUAAUCAGUCGAGGACUUGACCAAAA